UACGGGAGGCAGCAGUGGGGAAUAUUGCACAAUGGGCGAAAGCCUGAUGCAGCUAUGCCGCGUAUAUGAAGAAGGCCUUAGGGUUGUAAAGUACUUUCAUCGGGGAGGAAAAAACAAAACUAAUAAUUUUAUUUCUUGACGUUACCCGAAAAAGAAGCACCGGCUAACUCCGUGCCAGCAGCCGCGGUAAUACGGAGGGUGCUAGCGUUAAUCAGAAUUACUGGGCGUAAAGAGCACGUAGGUGGUUUUUUUAAGUCAGAUGUGAAAUCCCUGGGCUUAACCUAGGAACUGCAUUUUGAAACUGAAAUACUAGAGUAUCGUAGAGGGAGGUAGAAUUCUAGGUGUAGCGGUGAAAUGCGUAGAUAUCUGGAGGAAUACCUGUGGCGAAAGCGGCCUCCUAAAUGAAAUACUGACACUGAGGUGCGAAAGCGUGGGGAGCAAAACAGGGAUUAGAUACC
rnacentral:rRNA from 1 species